rnacentral:misc_RNA from 1 species
AAAAAAAAAAAAAAAAGGAGAAGAGGAUAUAAUCUAUGAAAAAUUAGCCAUAUAAACAAGGAAUACAUGUAUCUGUUAACUAAUAUUAGGUUGCGAAUGCAUGGUGCUCAAUAACAAAGUGUUCAACAAUAAGAACCAGUGUCCUGUUAUUUUUUAGCCUAGGUUAAUGCACCAUCUCUAUUUAAUUGAUACUUGAUCCUUCACAGAAAUCCAGUUUAAUGGACAUACUCCUUGUCACACAUCUCAUCACCAUCAUCAUAGACUUAAAACCAAAGGUCAGAUAAUCCCACUUCAAAGAGCCAGAAUCACUCGCCAAAUAAGUAAAAAUAAAAGAAACAAUAAGAGGAAUAAACUUUGACCAAAACUAAUGCUUUGUAUUAGCAAGCCAAUGAAUAACAGUGUUAUAUUAUCAUGAUAAACAAAAUUCGGUACCUUUCAUCUCCCCCUUGGGAUUC